AUCUUUUUUCCUAAGAAAUUCUAUUUGACAAGAAGAAAGGCAUGGAUUGUUUACUGUCGUACUGCGGGCUUUGUAAACCCUCCGCGUACGGUCAUUUGUGUAUAUAUCGGGCAUUCCUCUCGACCCGGCAAACAAACACAACAGACCGUACAGGCAAAUUUCGACUGAGACAAAGAGUUUCAUCCCGGACGCGACAGUGCUUGCGGGAUGUACAUGGCAGCAUUUCACGUCAAUGAAAACGGCCAGAAUACCCAAGCAGUGACCAAGACUCGAGAACCCAAAUCGGCCAUCAGCUACCCCCAAACCAUAACGGGGUCACGCCAGUGAACGAGGGACCAACACAUGAGUAUAUGGAAUUCUCAGGGCUACUGCUUGAGAGAAGAAACAGCUCUCCUUCCUACAGA